UACGGGGGGGGCAAGCGUUGUUCGGAAUUACUGGGCGUAAAGGGCUCGUAGGCGGCCAACUCAGUCGGACGUGAAAUCCCUCGGCUUAACCGGGGAACGGCGUCCGAUACUGGAUGGCUUGAGUUUGGGAGAGGGAUGCGGAAUUCCAGGUGUAGCGGUGAAAUGCGUAGAUAUCUGGAGGAACACCGGUGGCGAAGGCGGCAUCCUGGACCAACACUGACGCUGAGGAGCGAAAGCCAGGGGAGCAAACGGG
rnacentral:rRNA from 1 species